UAAACGAGAAGAGUGUGUUUGUGCUGGGCAACAAAGUUCCAUUGGUGUUGGUGUCUUUGCAGUGAAAUGAUUCACCACAGCAAACAAUGCGCUUCUCUGUGGAGCACAGUGAGCCAAGGAGUCGAGCUGUGGGCAUCCAGCUGUCAGAAACAGGUCUCAAGGAGCAGGUCAUAAUAUGAACAGAGAAGCGAGAGGAGGAGCUAUGCUUCCUGUGUUCCCAACCCAUUAGCGACAACCCCUGGGUGAAGAGGAGCUUGUCUGGCUUCCCUGAUGCAGAGAGACAGUCAACACAGUCAUGGACAAGUUCUUGGCAUCCGUCCACCCUGAUCAUACGGGACCUCCAUGUAAAGUAAAGCUCUCCGAAUUCAAGCCCCUGUCAGAAACUGAAAUUUCAGUCCUCCUGCUGUCACAGAGAGCCACCAUCUGCUUGCUCGAUCCCAUCCCAUUGGCACUCCUACAAACCAUCUCCCCACAACUUUCCACCUUCAUUUUCAAGAUCAUGACCUCCUUGCUCUCUGCUGGAUGCUUCCCAUCUGCCUUCAAGACUGCCCUCAUUUCACCUCUGGUAAAGAAACUCUCUCUGGAUCUUCACUCAGUCCUAAACUACAGGCCAGUCUUCCUCCUCCUUUUUCUGUAAAAACUCUCGAACAAUCAAUCAAUUUGUGAUCAACUGUCUGCAUUCCUCACCCAGAACCAUCUCCUUGACGAAUCUCAGGCUAGAUUCAAAGUCAGACAUUCCACUAAAACUGCCCUCCUGGCAGUAUCAGAUGCUCUCCAGUUGACCACAGUCCUCAUCCUUCUUGACCUGUCUGCAGCAUUCAACA